rnacentral:tRNA from 1 species
GAGGGUAUAGCUCAGUGGUAAGAGUAUGUGCCUCGGAUGCACAGGGUCCUGCGUUCGGUCCCCAGUACCUCCA